rnacentral:sRNA from 1 species
AUGAACAAGAGAGAUGGAGAGGAUUUCGUCAUGGAAAGGUUGGAUAUAGCUUUUGCUAGUGUGGAUUGGGUCAAUUCAUAUUCGUUUUAUGCUCUAAAGAAUCUACCAAUUCUGAGAUUGUAUCAUGGACCUGUUAUUUUUGACUUGGAAAUGCAACAAGCAUUUAGAAGACUCUUCAAGUUUGAAAAAAUGUGGUUACUCCACCCCAAUUGCAUAGAAGUUGCUCAGCAUGCUUGGAGUCUUAAUUCAAGUGGAUCCAGAGCUUAUAGGCUUAAAUGCAAGCUUAUCGAUGGGGAAAAAAAAAGAAGGAAUUUAGAUUAUGGAACAGAACGGUCUUUGGCAAAGUGGAGUGUGAAACACCAAGAACUUUAGUAUAUUCAAGACUCCAUCAAAACAACGGAGGAUAUUUGUCAUUGGAGGAGGGUUAGAAAAGAAGUUGAGUCUUUACUACAGAAGGGAAAUACUUUGGGCUCAAAAGGCUAGGAGUGAUUGGGUCAUUUUUGGUGAUAGAAACACUUUAGUAUAUUCAAACUGUGGUAGAGUAAAGUAGAGCGGGUGGUAAUGUAGCAUGACUCCUACUCCCCCUCAUCCCCCUCCCCCACCCCAUCCUCACCCUCUCCACCCCCCUCCACAUCAAGCCAUGGUGAAUGAACUUCCAUAUCCUACUGUUCCAACGUUGCCCAACACGGAUUAGCCAUCAUGCUAGUUAGUUGAAAACCCUCUCAGGCAUCACCCACUGAACCACAAAAAGGGCUUGGUCCAUAUCCCACAACUCCCUAGCAAUGGGACAAUGCAGCCACAAGUGGUCCAUUGUCUCUCCAUCCCCCUUGCACAUACAACACCAGCUCACCAAAUAGUGUUUCACUUCCUUAAGUAAUCUGCUGUUAGGAUUUCCCUGAAGAGGCAACUCAAAGAAAAAAUGCCACUUUUGUUGGGAGUUUAGGCUUCUAAAUUCUUUUCUAAGGGAACUUUACAACUCCCAUAGGGGCUAGUGCUUUGUAAUAGGAUCUAACCUAGAAACCCUUUUGUAUAUACGGCCUCCAAUAUAGCUUAUCCUCUUCACAACCUCAGACCUUUGUGGAAUACAAUCAAUUCAAAAUGACAAGUUCUCUUGAUGGUUCUUUUUUCUAAUGCUUUGGACCCUUUGGGUUUGGGACGUGACAUAAACUGCACCCAAAAAAAUCUUUUCGCUGCUUUUUCAAGUUUAUUAGCUAUUACAUUAGGCUAACUAGCUAAGCUAUCACAUUACGAACUAAGCUGACCAGGACAACCUCACACUUAACCAAAUUAAUUUAAGGCCUAAUACUACCUCAAAACAUAGCAUAACACAUUAGAGGUGGAAAAGCUCUUCCGGAUUAAUGAUUGAUGGAAUUGAUUAGGGGCUUGAUGUUGAUGAAGAAAUGUUAGAAUUUUGUUACCAAUGUCAAAAUAGUAGUGGCAUGAUAUAUUUAUUGAUUAUCUAUUUCAAAAUUAAUUAUUUGUGGCUAACGUGAUGUACUACACACCAUCAUAAACUUUAAUUUUCUAUUGUCUAUAUUGAAAACUCCUUUAAACAUUGAAUGUCAUUUUCUUUCCAUCCUUCUAAUCAUUUAAUCAUUGAGCCACAUCAUCCACUUAUUUUCUAUUUCUUAUUUUUCUCUUUUAAACUUUUCUUCUCACUGCUCUCAAAAAAAGAAAAAAAAGAAAAGAAAAGAAAAAGAACAAAAAAGAAAAAGAAAAAAAGAAGAAGAAGAAGAAGCAAAAACCUCUUCUUCUCCCUAUUAUUCAAUACCUAUGGUUACACUUUCUUCAACCUUUUCCUUCUCUCUUUGCCUCUUUACCUCCCCCACUAAUCUCUACUUCACCGCUACACUCCCUUCAUUCUUUUCUAUUUCUUAUAAUUUGACUCUUCUUCUUCCCAUUUUAUUUUGUAUAAAUUUGAUAUCAUUUCUUCCAUUUAAUUCAUAUUUUUUUCAUACAAAAAUUGAAUACUCUCUCUCAAAAAUGUUACCCCCUCCCCCAUCCCAUCCUCACCCUCUCAACCCCCCUCCUCCACCCCAUCCUCUCCCUCUCCCUCUCCUUCAACCAUUACCUUCUUUCUUUCCUUUUUUGCCACCCUCACACUUUCCUUCUUCCUCCCCCUUAUGCUUUCCUCCACAUUUUGGGCUUUUCCCAUAUCCUUAUCCCUCUCUUCAACCACUUCCUUUACCCUCCCCUCCUACACUACCUCAGGGGUCUAACCAAGCUUUGCCUAAACAACCUUCUCUUUUUCUUGCACCUUUAACCUUACCAAGUUCUCCCUAUACCUCUCAAAACAUCCCUCCUAAAUCUUUAUCCUCUGUCCUUGGGGGCAGCAAGAGGUCUUUUCAUGUUGAUGCUAAACUUUUUUCUUUUUCUUUUGAUUAGGGGCGGUUUGAUUCGUGUGCUAUACAUGAGACACAUCGGAAUGUUAAGAGCUCUAUUUGGGUUGGACGUAGGGGCAUGGAGUCGAUUCUUACUUGUCUCGAAGAUAUAUGAGAUUGGGUGCCUGGCCAUGGUUUACUUUGUAAGAGAUUUAGGGAAAAUGGGAAGUUGUUAGAGUUCUAUGGGAGAUCUAACAAUGCUGGUCUGUUUCUUGUUAUUACAGUAUAUUUUGGAGGGUCUAGGAGAGGUUGUUUAAUGAUUCCAGCAAGCUCUAAUAGAGCUGGUUGGACUUUGUCUUAGAAAGAGCUUAGGAUUUUUUGCUAUGGUGCUAAACCUGUAUCUUUGGAUAAAGUUUCACUCAAUAAUGGUGGUGGAGGUGGUCAGCUUGCUAGUGGUGGCCGGACUGGGAAGAGUAUAUCUGUUUAUGGUUAUCAGCAGAAGUUCAGGAAUUUUGAAAAAAAUGGAACUAAAUGGGGGCAAAACGAGAUUCAUGGAGUUUCUUUAGAAAAUGGUUUAGCUAGAAAUGACAAUGUUUUAGCUUUAUCUGGCAAACCCACGCAGGCAUUUAAAUUUAAUUUGACUCUUGCUUUAUUGGCUUUGAAGGUGUGCAAGCCUGAGGAAGGGAAACGUGUUGUGACUUAUUUGAGUUCUCAAAAGAUAAGCUGGCCCAAGGAUGUUAGUGGUGGGCCAGAAGUCACAAAACAAAAAGGUGGGCUUGAUGAAGCCCAACCCAUGGUGCAUAUGUCACAUAAGAAGGGUAGUUUGGUCAAGCCCAGCUUUUUACAAGUAAAAUCAGAUGCUCAGUCAACGUGGGUAUUAUGCGAGAGCUUGAGUGGUGUUGGGUGUGGUGAUUCCGAGUCGCCGGAGUGUGCAUUGGUGUCGAACCUAGUACUUAAAGCCUCUGCACUUAACACUGACCUGAUCCUUGGUGCCUAGGUGGCUUCACCGUCUGGCAGUUUGGUGGGAGCUACUCCUGAUGUAGCGGUACGUGCGACGGUGGCUUCAGUUUAUGAGCUGGAGUUCGAUGGGUGCAUGCCGAUGGUUGAUUCCGGUGCAUCGGGGGCUAUAGUGGUGUUUCCCGACUUUGGCAAGGUGGGUUCUACUCCGGUGAAUACGGCGAUGGUGUCUUUGGCUCUAAAAAUGGGUCACGGUCACAUCGUCGGCAUCAGUGGGCGAAACAUAACCAUUUUUCCCCUUUGUCUGAGCUGGGUAACGAGAUGGGUACUGGGUUUGGGGAAGGGGAAGAUCGUGUUAAGGCUUUUAGGUUAGUGGAUUCUGUUGGUCUUAGUCCUAAUGAUUCUGGGCCUCUUUUCCUACUGUGGGACAACAGUGGAGCUGAUAAUUGUGAUGGUGGUAGUGGGGUGAAAGAUAAUUGCCUCUUGGAGUGUAAUCCUGUGUCUCAGUGGGAUCCCAAUACUAUUUGUGAGGUAGUGUUAAUUCGGGAUGUUGCAGGAGGGGCUCAGGUGGUAGAAACUGAACCAAAUUCAAGUUGA